UACGGGGGGAGCAAGCGUUGUUCGGAUUUACUGGGCGUAAAGGGCGCGUAGGCGGUCGUGACAAGUCGCUUGUGAAAUCUCCGGGCUUAACUCGGAACGGUCAAGUGAUACUGUCGGACUAGAGUACGGAAGAGGCGAGUGGAAUUCCUGGUGUAGCGGUGAAAUGCGCAGAUAUCAGGAGGAACACCAAUUGCGAAGGCAGCUCGCUGGGACGUUACUGACGCUGGGACGCGAAAGCGUGGGGAGCAAACAGG
rnacentral:rRNA from 1 species